AGAAAUUAAAAUGUUAUUUAAAGUAACCUCAAUGCCAGCUUCAGUGAAUAAAGUUAGGGUCUCAAGAGACUGUCUGCAGAGUCAUUAUGUUGUAACACUGUUAAAAGUCAUUCAGUUCCAGACCGGAAAUAUUAUAAAAAUGGGCAACGUGUUCCCUGUCCAGCUGUUCUCAGAAUGCCCAGAUCUUGGCAACCACAACAAGGAUCGAAAAGUAGAGAUACGUGCAUUUCGUCUGGAAGUUUCAAAGCUCUCAUCCCAGGAACGUUCCACAGAGUCUGGAGCCUGAGGCCCAGCGGCCAAGUGGCGGCCUUCACUGUGCUUCGAGGACCCCAUCUCACCCCUCCUGGUCUGAAGGAGGGGGGCACGAUUUGGAGGCAGCUGGGGUUACAGGAUGACAAAUGUCGCUUGCAGGACGCAAUGGGAGCUCCCACAGCAAGGCCUGGAAAACAUUAGUGAGAGAUGGGGAAGACACAAUCGCAUUACCCUUCUCUUUCUAUCCAUCACUGCCUUUCUCUAGUCAAUAAAUGUCUCCCAGCUAUUGCCUCUCGGCCUCUUCCUUGGGGUUUAGAG